GACGAACCGUGCGAACGUUGUUCGGAUUCACUGGCUUAAAGGGCGCGUAGGCGGCUGGCCAAGUCAGGGGUGAAAUCUUUCGGCUCAACCGGAAACGUGCCCCUGAUACUGGCCGGCUUGAGGAGGGUAGGGCGGAUGGAACUUCCGGUGGAGCGGUGAAAUGCGUAGAUAUCGGAAAGAACACCAACGGCGAAAGCACUCUGCUGGGCCGACACUGACACUGAGAGACGAAAGCUAGGGGAGCGAAUGGG
rnacentral:rRNA from 1 species